rnacentral:piRNA from 1 species
UGUCCAGGAUAUAGCAGUGAGGAAAGAUGGC